GCGCUCGUAGCUCAGUGGAUAGAGCGCUGCCCUGCGGAGGCAGAGGUCAUGGGUUCGAAUCCCGUCGAGCGCGCCA
rnacentral:tRNA from 1 species